CCGCAGGCGGGGCGCGGGGCGGGCGGUGCUCGCUGGGCCCGGCCCCGGGGGCCGCGAGAGGAAGCGUCUCGCAGGGCCCGCAGGGGAAGGACCGGCUGUCCAGGUCUACUUACAGCCCAGGUCCCCCUAUAGCCCAGGUCUCUGUGAACGAGGUGCUCCUUUCACCAUCUCCCAGUACACAGACCACAUUCAUGGCAUCUGCCCCAUGCUGAGCGGGAGUUCACCAUUCCUGCUUGCCACUGUGACGUGUGUGCUUGCUGUGACUGCGGGCAGCAGUCAGGCCCUUGCUGGAAGUGGGACGUAGAGCAGGUGGACUGGCACCUGCUGGGAAGCUGGGACUGGGACAAGCCAAUGAAAGGAACUGGCUCCUCCUGGUUUGUGCCUGAUGUCCCAACAUGACUGUGAUCACAGUUUUACUGGGCUGAUGCAGCGUGAGGUUAUCAUCACCUGAAAAAAGAGAUUCCAACCGAUGCAUUUAAAUCUGAUGGAGAUGACAGUGGGAGGAUCUCUGCUGCGAUGAGAGUGCUUUUUAUGUCCACUGCCAAUGGAGCACUCUGUGCCAAGCUGGUGCAUGCAAGGGGAUGAGUGAGAUCAAGUGCAGAUGCUGCCCAAGCAUUCUGGGAGACAUGGUUCCUGCCCUGGAGAACUGAUGGUCUUGGGGGAUACUGCAAGGAACAGUCAAGGAGAAGACCCGGACCGAUAAAUCUCCAGACUUCCCCAGACAGUUAUGCCCAGCAGUAGCGAGGGGCCUGGGGGCUGAUCGGCAAGGACAGGGCCAGGUAUGCCUGGGGAGCAGGGGCUGCUCACAGGCGGCUCAGUCCAAUCGUCAUGUCCUGCUUAGGAUGCUCCUUGGACGUGCUUUGGUGCCUGAUCUCAUUAAUGUGAUUUCAGCCUUUGAAUUAAGCACCAGUUCACUCUAAGUGCUACAGGGGAUAAAGAGAAUAUUCUAGUCCCUGCAUCCAUCACAGCUGCUCUGCCAAGCAAAGUUAACAAGUAAACAGUAAUCACCCACAAUUAUUGCCCAUUACGUGCUCUUUUCACCUGAGAUCACACAACAAAGCAUGAGUGUGGAGCCACAGGAGGAGCUGGGUGGCAAGGAGCUGUCAAGAUGAAAUAACAGCAAAAAGACCUGUCAAACGCUGGCUCUGUGGAAGACCUAAAUCCUCUCCUGAUGGCCCCUUGGUGCAAUGUACAAGAGCUACUUCUGUGUAAUUAUAAAUUGUCUGCAGGGCUUAUCUGAGAGGUUCAGAGUUGACAUUACAAUAAUAGGGUGGGUGAGUUUUAUUUAAGGGAUAACAUUCCUGGCAGUGGUGUACACAUGGCAGUAAAUGAGUGUGGCGAGUGAUUAACACCAUCGCGAAGCCUUUGCGGUCCCUGCUGGCUGGCCAGAAGCAGAGGAGCCUGGCAGGUCCUGGCAUGGCAGGGAGGUCCUGCUGGGGCCACCAGGGCUGGCCUGUGACAGCCUGCAUUGUGGCACAUGCCACCUGGGGCUCCGUGCUGAGUGAGUUGUGGUGGGUGCACAUGGGGUACAUGGGGUCCCAUCCAGACAGGUCAGGGGCACGAUUCGUGUCCUCUAUCUCUGGGCACAUACCAGUGCAAUGUCCCCAUGAAGCUGUCUGCCUGGGCUCUCUUUAUAGCUAGCAGAGAGGGAAGGGUGAUUUUGUGGCGUGGUUUACCUGACCUACUUUAGUUGCUUACAUUAAGGUGAAUUGAACAGUUUCAAAAUUGCAUUUGCUCUCCAUUUACUAUAAAAAGCAGAAGGCGAUCAGCUCAGAUGUGGACCUGUAAGCCAGGAGGGAUUCAUCCCACUGGAAAUACCUUACUUGCCUUGGCCACCAUUUUCUGAGCAUGCUUCUCUUGUUCUACUUUAUUUUAAGGAUGAAUUUUCUACAGCGUUUCUGUAGAAGUAUUAAAAAGGGAAAGUGCAGAAAACAAGCCUUGCACCUGUCCCUUCAGGGGAAUGGUUUGUUUCCUUGAGUCAGAUUUGUCUUGAAGGCAGCCUGGGACAAUAUCAGACCUUACCAAGGCACUUUCUCCUGUCACCCUGCUCCCACCCUGCAGAAAAGGGACAGUGAUGCUGAGGGGCUGCCAUGAAUCCAGUCGCUCCCUGGGGAAGAUCUAUGGUAGCUGGUGUGUCUGUGAGCCUGACAGCAGUGAGAUGGGACUGGCCACCAGCCCUUCAUUAGACACAGCCCCGCAGCUCGCAUGCUGCACAUUCUGUCGUGGGAGCCAAUGCCUGAAUCCAGCGCUUUGUAUUAGGGGAAAGAAAAAAAAAAAAGUUGUUACAGCCUGAGGCCGUGGGAGGGCAGCCCUCCCCCGGAGCUCGGUGCAGGGCAGCAGCCCCCGUGCUCCCGGGCGAGCUGGGGCUGCAGCCACCUACAGGGAUCCAUCAUUCCUCUUUUAAGGGGAGAGAAAAUGUCCCUGCUCCAGAGCGCGUCGGCCGUGAGGGGGCAGGCACAUCCUUGCAGGAUGAACUUCUUGCAGAGGAGGCAGACUUCUCAACUGCCCCCAGUAAUUGGAAAGCAGUAAAAAGGCAACGUGCCCAUUCGGCGAG